UUAGAUUCAAAGAAUAAAAAUUGGUUUCAUACUCUAUUUUUGUCUUUUUUCAAAAGAUAAGUAGUUUUAUACUUUAUUUAUUUUUAUAAUUUUUCAAUAUAAAAAACUAGACCAGAUCGAAUCGGAAUCAAUUGGUUCGGUUCUGGUUCAAUUCGAUUCUAGAGUUAGAUAUGAAACCUAUGGCUCCAUUUCCAAGAUUCUCAUUGGUAUUCGGUUCGGCUCAAUUCCUUUGAGAACCGGACCGAACCAAAUCUCGCCCACUCCUAAUUAUUGGUUCAAGGUCUGGGAGUUUGUAUUUUUUUGUUUUUUUUUAUAGCCUUAAUUAUCGAUAGACUAUCCAAGAAAGAUUAAUUGGAAAAUUUUCGAUGGAAAUAUUUUCACUUGAAUUCUAACUUUUGGACCGGUUGAUUGCUAUUUUUUCUAUAAAAAUAUUUUCAAACAUUUGAAAAUAUGCCUAGUGUUUUUUUUUUUUUUUUUUUGACGAAAACAUUUUGUUAAGUAGAUUUUUGUUUUUCCUCAAAAUAAGGAAAACAUAUUCUUUUCUAAGAAAUAUUUUCCACACUAAUCGAGCCCACUCAAGUAGUGGGACUUGAUUAAUAAUAUGGAUAUAUAAAUUCAACUGCGCCCUCUAAGGUAAAUGAAAAUAUUCACCAAUUAAACUUCUCCAUUCUAACUUGACUUUUGAAGCGAGAGCAGUCCCCCAUACUGGUCUGCAUCAAGCUCACUAAUUGCAUCUUAUUUUAAACAAUUUUUAGUAAGCAAGUUGUGCAGCUGACAAGAAGUUUCGUUAUGAUUUCUAUGUACAGUGACAAGAAAAAUAUGAUCAUCCUUUUUUUUUUCUUUGUUUUUUUGUAAAUAUCGUGUUCAAUCCUGUCUAGUAAUAUAUUUGGAUAUAAACAUAUUAGCACAAUCUUCCAAAGGAAAUUCACAUGCAUUUGUUUGUAUGUGCAUUGAGAAAAAGGCGUUUCAACUCCUAGCUCAGAACAAGUAUUCUCAACAACUGGCACUCAUUAUCUGCAUCACACAUGCACAAUCCAAAUUAUAUUUCACUUUAAGCAGCUUAUGAGUGUCUUCUCUCUGUUUAUUUUCUACAAUGGCCUCUUCCAUUAUUCUCUUUAUGUUUUCUUCCUUGUUAACUAUCUCAUUCCCUUUGCAAGUUGAACCCAAAAAACCCGACUCGAAAUCCCAGUCCCAGAUCAUUGUCAUGGGCAUGGUAUAUUGUGACUUCUGCUCCAACAACACCUUCUCCAAGCACAGCUACUUCUUGCCGGGUAAGGAAGAUUGAACAGUACUCGUACUUUACCGUAUAAUAGUUUUAUUAUAAAAUCAUAACUCUGUCAUUUUUUAUUGGAUCUAACCAGGAGUAGAAGUUAGAAUAGAUUGCAUAUUCAUAGCAAUUUCUUCAAGAACAACAGAACGGAUAUCAUUUUCGGUGAACAGAACUACAAAUAAGUAUGGAAUAUACAUAUUUGAAGUGCCUAGUGUUGAUGGUGUUCAAUGUGCCAGAGACAAAGCAGUUGGGAAUUCCUGCAGAGCCAGCUUAACAGGGAUAAGACCAUCUUCUUCUUCCUGUAAUAUUCCAGGAUUUAGGACUACAUCGGAUGAAAUUUCAAUCAAAUCCAAACGAGAAAACACUUGCAUUUAUAGUCUCAGUCCAUUGAGUUACAGACCAUCCAAGAGAGAGAUUGACUUGUGUGGAAAAUAAGGAACCAACAUUCUUGGAUCUACACGUCUUGUUCUCAUCUCUUUGAGGCAAUCAUUGAGACAUCUACAGGAUACUCGAACAAUAUUAAAGAAGUUAAAUAUUCUUGUUUGCUGUCUUGUAUGGUGGUGUCUAGUAAAUCGUUCUAUGUUUCUCAAGAAUUUAUGUAAUCUGUAUUUGGUUUUUGGCAUAUGGUUCAUUUAUAUGUACCUCAAGAAAGAUUAUAAGGGUUUUAAUUAGGCAAAAUGUAUGCAGAUAAUUUUGGAUGCUAAAAAUUCC
rnacentral:lncRNA from 1 species